GACGUAGGAGGCGAGCGUUGUCCGGAUUCAUUGGGCGUAAAGAGCACGCAGGCGGUUUGGCAAGUCGGAUGUGAAAACCCCGAAGCUCAACUUCGGGCGUGCAUCCGAAACUGCCCGACUAGAGGUAGGUAGGGGAGAUCGGAAUUCCUGGUGUAGCGGUGAAAUGCGCAGAUAUCAGGAGGAACACCGGUGGCGAAGGCGGAU
rnacentral:rRNA from 1 species